rnacentral:piRNA from 1 species
UCAUUACGAAAGGUCAGGAGUGCUCUCU